rnacentral:misc_RNA from 1 species
UACCAACAACAACAAUCCUGGCCCCCAGAGGCCAGUCAAGGACAAUCAUCUGGUCACCUUGGCACCAAUGCCGUUACUUCUCAUGUACAUUUACCUGGCCAUAGACACCAUUCCUCACACCACCACCACGUGGUGACCGCGCAGUCUCCACCGUCAUUGAACGCCUCGGUGCCGUCUAACCUUGUGGGGCCCCCUCAGGGUGUAUUACUGAGUGGGUCUGUGCUGACCUCAUCAGAACAGGUUGUGUAUGGGACAAGGACAGGAUUUCCUGCUUCUGGCAUGUCGGUAGAUAUGGUCCAGGCAGGACACCACUCGCAUCCCAAUAUAGACCCAUCACUGAAUAUGCAAUUACAGGGCUACCCCCAACAGUAUGGACAGUACACCCAACAAACCUGGCAAGGAACUGGCUUUCCUUUUGCUUUGACUUCUAGUAGUGGGGGCACAGAACCCCCUCCUACACAUGCACGGACAGUGACAGAGCGUUCCGAUGACUCCCCAAUGGUUGGGGUCAUAGUACAGCAAAGUCCAGUAGUGAUUCAUUGAUGAUGGGUGUUCCCUGUGUUACGUUUUCAUUUCUGCGUUCUGUUCUCUGACACAUGCAGCUGGCAUUUUGCGGAGGAUUUCUCACUAAGUCACAGAUAUUGGAAGAGCCAGUGAAUAUGACAAGAACUACAAAACCCCAUUUGUAGUUCAGCUUCCCCGUAAAGGAAGACAUGACGACGGUCCGUGCAGUCGUGGCGGAGGUCCGAGUGUUUAUUGUCACAUGACCAGGUUAUGAAGGGCCAUGUUUCUGGAGUUUAGUGUGAGCUUAAAAUUAAACUCAUUCAGCUGAAGCUUCAAAUUACAAUUUUCAAAUUGUCUAUACAAAGUAUAGGUCACUAAUGUUUCAAUGGUCAGUUCCUUGUGGACAGAAUGAAGUUUAUGUCAUGUCUGAAAAAUGUUUUUUGGUUGGUAUUCUAAAUGAAAUGACUAUUCUCUUUUUUAUUUAUUAAAAAUAAGAUGUAAAAACCGAUUGCUUUAGCAAUAUGCAACAGUGUCAAAUUUUACAAAACAAACCUCUAUCUCUUUAAAUUUAAUUGCUAAGAAACAAUUGAAUUCAAACGUACCGGGUAUUUUUAAAAUGUUUCAGUAAUACAUGUACAUGCAUUGUUAACAAAACUAGAUUGUUAAAAUCCCAACAUAUUGUAUUUUUAAUUUGGCAGAAAUGUGAUGUGAAUUGACAGCAGAAUGACAUAUUGUUUUCAUUCCACAGAAUCCUAUUUGUUGUCCUUGUGAACUGGUCCUCAUGGGGAGGAGCACCAGUGUAUGUAGGGUACUGACAUUUUAUACUAGUCAUGUGAGGCUUAGACAUGUUAGAUACAGAACGCUGCUGAAUGUUUGAUGGUUUUUCUUGACAAAUUUGUAAAUAGUUGUAUUAUGUACAGUGACUGAGUCAGGUCAGUUGUUAAUAGGAGGAGGAAGAAAUGUGUAACAUUUCCUCGUUAUCUGUAGAGAGAGGGACAACAUGUAUGGUGUACUUCAAAUCUUGCUUCUUUUGCCACUCAUUCUGACCUUGAUUAAAAUGCUGCUAUUUCCUUUUUACUGAGCUACAUUCAUUGUUGCCUUUAAUGGCCCAUAUCCUUAUGAAAUUGACCAAUUGUUGAUCAGAGAUUUCUUAUUUUCUUAAUGAGUGCAGAACUUAAGUCUCAUGUGUCAUUUACCUCACAAAGAAAGUGAUCUUUUUAUUAGUACACACUGGUAUUAUUAUAAAGUAUGAAUGAAAUGGGGCAUGUGGACUAUUCCGUAUUUAAAAUGAAUACAAAUUUAGAAAAAUAACCUUACUCCAGCAGAAAAAAAACUGAAAAAAAAAUACUGAAUUAUCCAUAGAUAAUGUUAUUUUUCCUGAUUUUUUAAAUCUGUAUUUGAAUUUUAAGGGGCUAUUGUUCAGGAGAUGUGAUGUCUGGUUGAAAAUGAUAGUAUUUAUUUUGAGAAUGGAGACAUUUUAUUUUAUGAAGACUGUCAAUGUUGUCUCGGUUUUUGUUCAGUCUUUUAAUUUCUUUUAAUGUCAAAUAUAAUUUUUAGAAUGAUGACACAGCUAUGAACACGUUUUUUUUUAAAGAUUCAUCUGUACAUUUUUUUCAGUUCGUCCUUCCACUUGCAUGAUAAAGUUUUAAAUGAAAAAGUGUUAAAUUUUUAAAGAAUUUUUUAUUGCCGAACUAUUUUUGAACUCCAUGUUUCUUAUGUCAAAAUAUAGCUCUUAUGUCCUUCUGAACACUUGUGUGAUUUAAGAUGGUAUACAGUUAUUAGAAGUCCUUUUUCUGUUUUAAUGUUAGAAUUCAUAGGAAGGACAUGCUUAAGAAACAUUUGAGUGUUUUCAGCUCUGUUUAAAAAAAGAUUAAACAAACUUAAAUGUUCUUGUUAUCAUCCACUAGCAUAAAAUGCCAAAAAAGGGAGAUAACUACACCAACAAAAUAUAUAAUACAAAGAGAAUCAUUAAAUUGU